GUGGGGAAUAUUGCACAAUGGGCGAAAGCCUGAUGCAGCAACGCCGCGUGCGGGAUGACGGCCUUCGGGUUGUAAACCGCUUUCACCAGGGGCGAAUUUGACGGUACCUGGAGAAGAAGCACCGGCUAACUACGUGCCAGCAGCCGCGGUGAUACGUAGGGUGCGAGCGUUGUCCGGAUUUAUUGGGCGUAAAGAGCUCGUAGGUGGUUUGUUGCGUCGGAAGUGAAAACACAGGGCUUAACUCUGUGCUUGCUUUCGAUACGGGCAGACUUGAGGAAGGUAGGGGAGAACGGAAUUCCUGGUGGAGCGGUGGAAUGCGCAGAUAUCAGGAGGAACACCAGUGGCGAAGGCGGUUCUCUGGACCUUUCCUGACGCUGAGGAGCGAAAGCGUGGGGAGCAAACAGG
rnacentral:rRNA from 1 species